AGAAAUCUCACCAGGCCCGGACACUGGAAGGAUUGACAGAUUGAUAGCUCUUCCUUGAUUCGGUGGGUGGUGUUGCAUGGCUGUUCUUAGUUGGUUGAGUGAUUUGUCUUGUUAAUUCCUAUAACGAACGAGACUCUGUCCUGCUAAAUAGGGCUUAAUUUGACUCAACGCGGGAAAUCUCACCAGGCCCGGACACUGGAAGGAUUGACAGAUUGAUAGCUCUUUCUUGUUAGCAAUAA
rnacentral:rRNA from 1 species